AAAUCUCAAUCCAAUCCCAGGCUUGGCCAUAGGGUACAUGUUCCUGUAGGGGACAGUAGAGGUUCCUUUUCUGCACCUCUUAGC
ensembl:misc_RNA predicted gene, 27520